rnacentral:tRNA from 2 species
GACACUUUGGCCGAGUGGUUAAGGCGCAGGCCUGCUAAGCCUGUGGGUUCGCCCGCCUGGUAUGUUCCACUACGAUGUUCGAAUAAAAAUAUCAGUCUCUAACAAUCUACAACAGGGUUCGAAUCCCAGAGGUGUCG